rnacentral:rRNA from 1 species
UACGUAGGGUGCAAGCGUUAAUCGGAAUUACUGGGCGUAAAGCGUGCGCAGGCGGCUUUGCAAGACAGAUGUGAAAUCCCCGGGCUUAACCUGGGAACUGCAUUUGUGACUGCAUGGCUGGAGUGCGGCAGAGGGGGGAUGGAAUUCCGCGUGUAGCAGUGAAAUGCGUAGAUAUGCGGAGGAACACCGAUGGCGGAAGGCAGUCCCCUGGGCCUGCACUGACGCUCAUGCACGAAAGCGUGGGGAGCAAACAGG